UCGAGAAUCUUCGGCAAUGGACGAAAGUCUGACCGAGCGACGCCGCGUGCGGGAUGAAGGCCUUCGGGUUGUAAACCGCUGUCGUAGGGGAGGAAAUUCCAAGGGGCUAUCCUUUUGGAUUGACCUAUCCUAGGAGGAAGGACGGGCUAAGUUCGUGCCAGCAGCCGCGGUAAGACGAACCGUCCAAACGUUAUUCGGAAUCACUGGGCUUAAAGGGUGCGUAGGCGGCCGGACAAGUUGGGUGUGAAAUACCUCGGCUCAACCGAGGAAUAGCGCCCAAAACUGUUUGGCUCGAGGAAGACAGAGGUGUGCGGAACUUAGGGUGGAGCGGUGAAAUGCGUUGAUAUCCUAAGGAACACCAGUAGCGAAAGCGGCACACUGGGUCUUUUCUGACGCUGAGGCACGAAAGCUAGGGGAGCGAACG
rnacentral:rRNA from 1 species